AUUGCUAUAUAAACGCAAAGACUAAACAACCAGCCACAUAAUCCAACCGACUUCCAAGAUGAAACUGGCUCUCAUUCUUUUCGCUCUUUUGGGCAUGGUGCUGGGUGCCUUCGGGCAGCUGUGUGGCUGCCAGCCCGACCCGAUGGGCCCGCUGUGCGCCAGCGAUGGCAUCACGUAUAACAGCGUGUGCGAGAUGAACUGCAAGACCGCGGGCAGAGGCGUUUACAAGGUCCGCGAUGGAGCCUGCCUGUGAGACAUAGUCAGAUGACACUAUGAUUAAUGAUCCUGAGAUAUUGCUUGAACUAUCAUUUAUUGCCUUCUGAAAAUUUACUUUUCUUGAUUUACUUUUUGAGAUCCAUUCGCUUAUUACUACUUGUUUUAAUGUUUUUUUGAUAUUUACUUACUUUUUUCUCUUUGCGCAAUAAAAUGUUUAUCAC